CGAGGAUGGGGGCUGUGAUUGGAACUGCAACGCGGAGGAAUUUCUGGAAGAUUCGACGCGGUCGGCUGUGCAGCCUGAAGGUCGCCAGGGCUGCUGGGGAAUUUGGGACAAUGAUGAACAAAGCUGCUGUGGAUAUUUCUGUAUGAGGUUUUGUGUGGACUUACGCUCUCAUUUCUAUCGGCCACCCCUAAAGUGGAGACAUUGGGGACAUAGCGGUGAUCAAAUGGAUCCCACUUGGUCAACCACAUCCUGUCAUUCACUGAGGAUUUUGG